UACGAAGGGGGCUAGCGUUGUUCGGAUUUACUGGGCGUAAAGCGCACGUAGGCGGAUCGUUAAGUCGGGGGUGAAAUCCUGGGAGCUCAACUCCAGAACUGCCUUCGAUACUGGCGAUCUCGAGUCCGGAAGAGGUGAGUGGAACUCCUAGUGUAGAGGUGGAAUUCGUAGAUAUUAGGAAGAACACCAGUGGCGAAGGCGGCUCACUGGUCCGGUACUGACGCUGAGGUGCGGAAAGCGUGGGGAGCAAACAGGG
rnacentral:rRNA from 1 species